UACGGAGGGUGUUAGCGUUGUUCGGAAUUACUGGGCGUAAAGAGUGCGUAGGCUGUUUUGUAAGUUGGAAGUGAAAUCCCGGGGCUCAACCUCGGAAUUGCUUUCAAGACUGCAAAACUAGAGUAUGGUAGGGGCUAGUGGAAUUCCUAGUGUAGGAGUGAAAUCCGUAGAUAUUAGGAGGAACACCAGAGGCGAAGGCGACUAGCUGGGCCAUUACUGACGCUAAGGUACGAAAGCGUGGGGAGCAAACAGG
rnacentral:rRNA from 1 species